GACGAACGCUGGCGGCGUGCCUAACACAUGCAAGUCCAACGAGAAAGUCUCCUUCGGGAGACCGGUAAAGUGGCGGACGGGUGAGUAACGCGUGGGAAUCUACCCGGUAGUGGGGAAUAACUCCCCGAAAGGGGAGCUAAUACCGCAUAAGCCCCAAGGGGUAAAGAUGGCCUCUUUCUNAUGCUAUCGCUUCCGGAUGAGCCCGCGUCCUAUUAGCUAGUUGGUGAGGUAAUGGCUCACCAAGGCUACCAUGGGUACCGGUCUGAGGGAUGAACGGCCACACUGGGACUGAGAACGGCCCAGACUCCUACNGGAGGCAGCAGUGGGGAAUUUUGCGCAAUGGGGGAAACCUGACGCACAACGCCCCGUGGAUGACGAAGGCUUCCGGUCGUAAAGUCCUGUUCUGGGGGAAGAAAACAGAAGAGCCAUACCCUCUNGCCUGACGGUACCCAGCANAAAGCUGCGGCCAUUAUGUGCCAGCAGCCCCGGUAAUACAUAAGGAGCAAGCGUUGUCCGGAAUCAUUGGGCGUAAAGAC
rnacentral:rRNA from 1 species